AAUCGGGACCGCAUCCCUUCGCGGACCGGAAUCAUCGG
rnacentral:sRNA from 1 species